rnacentral:ncRNA from 2 species
AGUGGUGAUAGAGGUGCGAGACUCAAAAGUAGCACUGCGGAGGAAGAUGAAUUCCACUGAUGCAGCGUGAAAGGGACGAUCGCCGAAGUAAAUGACCUGUUCAUCCAGUCAUUCGCUGGUUCUGCAUUGAAGAAAUGCAGAGCUGUCAAGAUGUUUAAUCAUCUUGGAGAGCUAUCUCACCU